rnacentral:rRNA from 1 species
AUUGAACGCUGGCGGAAUGCUUUACACAUGCAAGUCGAACGGCAGCACGGACUUCGGUCUGGUGGCGAGUGGCGAACGGGUGAGUAAUACAUCGGAACGUGCCCAGUCGUGGGGGAUAACGUAGCGAAAGCUACGCUAAUACCGCAUACGAUCUAAGGAUGAAAGCGGGGGAUCGCAAGACCUCGCCCACCUGGAGCGGCCGAUGGCAGAUUAGGUAGUCGGUGGGGUAAAGGCUCACCAAGCCGACGAUCUGUAGCUGGUCUGAGAGGACGACCAGCCACACUGGGACUGAGACACGGCCCAGACUCCUACGGGAGGCAGCAGUGGGGAAUUUUGGACAAUGGGCAAAAGCCUGAUCCAGCCAUUCCGCGUGCAGGAUGAAGGCCCUCGGGUUGUAAACUGCUUUUGUACGGAACGAAAAGGCUCUGGUUAAUACCUGGGGCUCAUGACGGUACCGUAAGAAUAAGCACCGGCUAACUACGUGCCAGCCGCCGCGGUAAAAC